rnacentral:misc_RNA from 1 species
AAGUCGUAACAAGGUUUCCGUAGGUGAACCUGCGGAAGGAUCGUUAUUGAUUUUGUGCGCAAGCACAUUAUACACCCCGUGAACCGCCUUCGGGCUACACACAUCAUGUUAUGAAUGUAUUACUAUAAUAAUAAAACAA